GGAAAGGUGGGACUCUGAAAGACUACAGAUGCUACCAGAGAGAAGUGGAGGAAGCCAGGAAGCUGAUCUCUGUUUUAAGAAGCCCAGUAGGCCGGCAUCAUGAUACCAUCUCCUUUCAUCAACUGCUAUGCCCAGACCCCUCCUGUGAGGUGUGUAAUAGAACAACUGCUGACAUCAAUCGGCUGCUGUUC